rfam:Glycine soja cultivar W05 scaffold254_8, whole genome shotgun sequence.
CUAAGACGUGCUUACCUCAGCAACGUCUUUGAAAGUAAACAUUCUAAGACGUUGCUGAUGUAAGCAUCGUCUUAGAAUGCCUACUUUUAAAAACGGUGCUGAUAUAAGCACCGUCUUU